rnacentral:snRNA from 1 species
AGCUUUGCGCAGUGGCAGUAUCGUAGCCAAUGAGGUUUACCCGAGGCGUGAUUAUUGCUAAUGGAAUGCUUUUUCCAAUACCCCGCCAUGACGACUUGAAAUAUAGUCAGCAUUGGCAAUUUUUGGCAGUCUCUACGGGGG